UUAAUGAAAAUAGAUAAGAAUUAUCCAAGAAUAGAUGAGAAUUUCUUAUUUAUUUUCUUUGUUUGUGUAUAAAAUCUCGAUCUUUGAACGAUGUUCGUAUUAGUUUCUGCAUUCCUUGAUAUGAUUGGUUGUUUACAAGUUAUUGUUAGUCUUUGACUGUACAAAAGUUAUUCAUUCAGUUUCUCGAGAGUUUUGUUAUGGAGUUUCAACUCGAGAUGAAUUUGGUAGAAGGCGUAGGGGCGAGUUCCUCACUGCCGAGGAGUUUUGGUUGCUGUGCAGUGUAUGAUAUAAAAAAUGAUGUGUAUAAUUGUCUUCUAGAGACUGGAGGCCGUUAGACCUUUAACGACUUAAAUUUUUUGCUCAAGAGAUGGUUUAAAAAAACUUCACUACUUCUAAUAUAAAAAUUAUGUACUCACCUUUUGAAUAUGAUAUUGAGAAAUAAAAUCGAUAGAAUUCCCGAAUAUGUAGCAAAUUUACUCUUUUUCCCCAUGAGCACUCAUUUUGAUGGCUGAUUUAGCACAUGAGAACAUAAAUUCCAGUCAUAAAAGCAAAGCUCUUCAUUCUAGAAUGUAAAAGUUCCUAAGAUAUAUUUAAAUUUGGAAAGAUAUCACCUAUGGAAACUCAACGUGCUAUUACUCAUGAAAAUUUUCUAGAUUUAUACAAAAAAGAUCAGUUUGAAUCUGCCUAUUUACUGUAGCUUCUCCCCAAAAUUAACAAGUAGUUUUUUCUUUGUUUUGAAACGUACUUGUAGUUAUGAAUUAACCAGUAGCUACCAAAGAUGAGAUAUUUCUACUUUGUUCCUCUAAGUGAUAUUGGUGUGUUGCAUAAUAUGGCAACCACUAAAUUGGCGUAUGUAUGAAAUUGUAUGCUUGUGUUAAUAUAGGACAGCCUCAUGUUGUUUUCUUUCUUUGAAACUGAUUUGUUUAACUAAGAUGUAUAUGUUGCGUAUCUUGGGGCCUUUCUUGGUUAUACGGAAAAGUUGUUGAAAAAAGCAGAUGGCGCCAAUCCUCUGCUGUCUUUCCAUAUGGUUAUCAUGUAUUUGCUCAACUUUUUGCAUCAUCACUCGCUCGGCUUAGACGAGGUAAAAUGCUUACAUAACCUCUUUCUAUUGUGCUACUUGACAGCCACAUUUGUUGAGAGUUGUAGCCUAUAAUUGAAUCUAAAUAUUCAUCGACUUCUAUUGCAAAUGUCAUGAGUCCAGUAUGGUCCUUAUGAAGUAACCUAUAUGAGAGAGACAAGAGUAUGGUGAGAUUUCUAGCAGUAAAGGUGAUUUUUUGUGAGAUCUUGUUUCAAAAUAAUUCAUGUAGGAUGUUUAAAUGCUGGAUAAUGCAUAAAAACGAAUUAGGGACAGAAAUGUCCAUUAUUAGGUGGCCUAUUUCACAUGGUUAGUAGUCCGCCAAUCUUAUUUAACACAUGUUAAUCUACCAAAAGAAGUUUUAAGUUGUGCAAUAUGUGUUACAUUUGUAAAGAAGAUAUGGAAAGAAAUCGCCACCUAUAUCACUUUUUGGUGGCUCACAACUUUGAAACAUGUUUUUGAACUUAUUUAAUCUAAAAAUGAACAAUGUCAUACUCAACAAUGAGUUAUUGUUAAUUUGCAUCAUAAAGGUCAAGAGGAUUUGCUGCACAAUACAAAAAAGAGAGAAUUUUUUUAUCUUUUGAAGACAAAGCAAAACACAUCAAUAAAAUCAAAUUGAAAUUUGUGUGUUGUCUUUUUGGUGUCCUAAACUUCACCUGUGUGAUUACACCGAGUAUUUUAUUGAUGUUGUUGUUGUUGUCUAUUUAGUGUAGGUAGAAUGUAUAACAUAGUGGUGUAAAUAUGAUAAAAUUUGUUAUUACAUUUUGGUAAAAUCUAUUGACGUCUAACCCAAACUAUUGAUGGCUAACCCAAUGGGCUAGAAAAAAUAAAUAGUAAACAGGUCGUGCAUGGUGAGACGACUAACAAAUAAAAAAAGGGUAUGAUACAACAGAUUAGGAAGGAAAUUAAAGUUGUUUUUGAAAGAUUCAUGGAAUCGAUUCAUGACAAACAGAUAAGGUAAAUGGUCAAGUUAUCGUUUGGGUUGGAGUCCCAUGUUUUGUCUACUUUAAUCAAUCAACAAAUUUACUGCAUUUUCAAUUUAUUUGGCCCAAAGCAACAAGUUAUGUGAUUCUUGUGAUUUUUUUUUUUUUUUUGCUCUUGCCAUUAAAGUGCCUUUGUCGUGCAAAUUAUUUAUGGUUGUAUAAAUUGGAAAAUCAGGCGUAGACAAUGCCUUAAGGUUAUAAUGCUCAGUUUCUUUUGGGCAGAUAUAGUAUUUGCUCACAAGCUUGAAUAGAAUAUAUUUAUUUAUAUUCAACCUCACUACCGCAAGUGUAAUAUGCUUCACAUUUCCAAUAUAUCAAGUAUUUUGGUUCAGCUAAGACAACUAACAUGAGUGCAGAACAAAUAUGGAUAUUUGAUAGUGCUAAUUGUCCCAGGUACGCUAUUCCUCUUUGUCUCUAAUAUUAUGGAAUGACAUUACAUGAGUUUAUCAUUGAUUCUACUUAUUUACGAGACUUGUCUUACAAAAUUUUCAAUGAAAGGUGUACUUCAUGAAGAGUCUCUUAUUACUUAUCCAAAAAAGAUAUAGGUCAUUUAGAGUUGGUUCUGAAAAUAUUAUUGUUAUUCUAAAGAAGUUAAAUUUGUUUAGAGUAUUAAUUUUGACUAUUUCUGUUUCCUGGAGUUAUUGUCUAAAAAUGACCAGAGAUAUCUUAGAUUAUUUUUUGUAGAGUAGAGCUUAACAUUACUUUAGAUAUAGUGAGAAUAAUUUUAAAAUAUCCUAUGUUGCUUGGACUCUUCAAAAAUGUUAAUGGGUGCGCGCUGAAUUCUCUAAAAAUAGUGUAUUUUUGGAGAAUCCAACAUGGGUGCAUCAUCAAAAUUGAAGAGUCCGCACACUUCACCUCUAUUACUUUUCUCUUUUUUUUACUUUCAAUUUUCAAGUAAUACUUUUUAGGUGCGCUUUAGAAAACAGAUUUAAUAGUAAAAUAGUAAAAUUUUGCAUGAUAAAUUGGCUAGAUUUCGUUUUUCUCUGAAAUUAGUUGGUUUGAGUUUUUCUUUUACUUGUUUCAACCUUUUCCUUUGUGCUAUGUGUAAUUGCAGGCAUAACUCAUAAGCUAAGUUGCACAAAAAUCGCAAUCUUGAAUAUUCAUCUGUAUUUUAUAUUUUUCAAGCUAGCAAAAUUUACUGUUAAGAGACUUUCUUCUGCAAUCAUUUGCGUGAGAGUUUAGCUGGCUCCAUAUGCUACAUUUUCCUCACUUUGUCGUGAAACAUUUGGUAUUUUGGUACUAGGUAACAGGUAAAACUUCAUCUGUAUGCACAAUUUUAAAUGCAAUGUCCAUUGCAAGCAGAUCGAUUAUCUAGCAUGAGUGGAGUAAUCUGACUCUCCCUAUGGAUGAAAACAUUAAUAAUAUACAUGUGUGCUGUCUUAAAAUUGAAAAUGAGUGUUGGGAUGCACAUGUUUAUUUUACUGCUAUAAUUUCACCUUACCUGGUUAUGUAAAGUUGAAGGUGCAACUAAUUUGUAUUUUCAUUGGAGUUGAUGUUGUGAAGUUUGUUAAUGUCGUAUUAAUAUUUUAUAGUAUUCACUUUGAUUUUUGAUCGAAAAGGCCUAACACAUGAUAAUUUUCAUACACUUUGACAAUGAGGAAGAAAAUAAGUCUUUUAUGAUGAGCUUGAGCAAGGGAAGAUGGAAACGGUUGAUCACAUCCUCUUCACUGUUUGCUCCAAUAUUUCCCGGCGAGAUCUACUGUUCCAAAAUUUAAUCAUGCUAGAGUAUAAUCACAUCCUCUUCAUUGUUUGCUCUAACAUUUCUUGAAUUUUAAUUGAGAGGGAUUUGAACUCGCUUUUGAAGUAGUGUUAGUUACUUGAUGAUGUAUUCAUUCUUCAUUAUGUAGCAUAGAAUAAAGAUCAAUACUUAAAGAACAGUGACAUAGUGUGCUUUACAAGUAGAUUAUAUGUUAUGCACUCUCUAUAUCUAUGGAAUAAUAUUGAUUGCCUUCUUAUUAUA